ACCAAAGCGGAGUGCAUGAACUUAACCACUCGGCCAUGGGGCUGGCCCCCUUUGCUGUCAUUUUUCCUUUUACGGAAAAUGUGAAUCAAGCUGCUUCCUAUUUCUUGUGUCCGAGUGGUUUGUUUCAAGAUGUUUGUUACAUUAAUAUUGGUAUUUUUAUGCUGCUUUUUUAAAGCAAAAUAUUUCUCCCUUGCACUGAGCUAAGACCAAAGGCACACAACGAAGGUCCAGCACCCCACCUGCAGACACAGGUGUGAGAGGGAUAUUAACUGAAAGGCGGUGGCAGGUGGCAUCUGUGGCCCAGGCCUGGUUUCUCUGGAGGAAGUUGCUGCCCACAACCCCACUGGGGCUCCUGGGUCAGGAGCCCACCCGCCUCCAUGUGUGCAGGACACACGUGGCCAGACAGACAGACUCCCAGGGACACACUCCCUGGGGCAGAGAGCCAAAGCCUGCACAAUUCUCUCAGGGUGAGGAAACAGGCACAGAGUGGGCUGAGUCUGCGCGACGGACGCCCCAGGCUAUGGCCGGCACCGUGUCCGGGGAGUGGGGCCUGUCUGGGCCCAGGCUGGUCCCUGCUCCUCUCCCUCUGCCUUCAAGGAUGGCAAGGGGAGGAGAAUCUCAAACCCACCUGGCAACUGACUGCUAGAGGGCCAGGCAAGAGGAUGGACCUCACCGGGAAGAUGGGACAGUCGUGUCCAGCCAUGAGGAUCCUGUGCACUGCACACUGAUGCCCUGGGCGGGGCAGGCAGGCGGACAACACUGGGAAGCCUACCCCAGAAUGGCCAGGACCAGAGGUGGACAUGGACGGAGCUGCCUGAGGGUCAGCACAGAGCAUAGGCCCAGCCACUGCCCCGACCACAGUGAGGUCACUGCCACAGAGGUCGUGAGGGGCUGGCCAGCCUGCACGGGGGGCCCUGUCUUAUCACCCCCUCCCUACCUUGUGCGGCCAUGCUGUGCAACAGCUGCAGCCCUGCUCAUCCAGCUGGACGGUCACUAACGGGCGACAGGAUGGAAGGUGGUGCCGCUGUCUGUGGGGCGGCAUGGAGGUUCCCAGAGGCUGAGGUGGGAGGAGUGAGUGAUGGUCACCAGGUUGGGAGGAGGGGACUCCAGACGUGGUGUUUCAAAAACGGAGAAAUAAACCAAACCCGGGGGGCACUUGUCCACACACAGACCAGGCAGGUGGGAGUGAGGUCCCGGCCCCCAGGGGACUCGGGGGCCCUGGGUCAGCUACCCCCUCGGUGAGACGCUCCCGACAGGACUCUGCAGGGAUCGGGAAGGAUGACGCACGCCUGGAGCACCUGCAGUGGGACGUUUAUUGCACAACAGUUACCUUUAUUCCAGGCCACACUCGGACACACGAGACACAGACCAUGUGGAAACCCUGACCCUCCCACCAGCCCCGAGGUGUGCAGUCAGGGCCAGUAAAGGGCAGAACCAGCGCAUGGACAACUGCUUUCCAGGGAAACAGAAUCUACCAAAAGGUGCCGCCUGUAGGAUCCUGCAGAUGGUACUGCCUGGCGCUGCUCUUCCCCGUGGGCCCUCCCAGGGCCGACCAGGGCUCAGAACAGAGACCUAGCAGAACGCAGCUUUGUCCCUGACUGUGUCUGCUGCUUAUACAACGCGCUUUAAUGUUCCAGGGGUGGGAAAGGUUUCCAGUCACCACCUCGAUGUCACACGGGGAUGCUCACCUGUGGGUUAGGUGAGCGUGACGGGAGGGCACCCAGAGAUGGCUGAGACACUUGUGCCCUUGGGAGCUCUGGCACCCUGCCCUGGAGAAGCUGACACUGGCAAGGGAUGGCCACUUAAGUGUGCUCAGGCGCCACACCCAGCCAUCCCCUCAAAUUCUAGAUACACAACAGGGUUGGUAUUUCCUUCUGGGCACCUGGUGAAGGGGCUCACUGAGACCCUGUUCCUGUCCCGACUCACCAAGAAACCAGAGGCCAUUUUGGAGCCAAUUUUUAUUGUACUUGUUGCUUCGCCGCUGGACACAGCAGAAACGCCCGCUGCGUGAUAUAUACAUAUACACAUAUGUACACACACGGAGAUACACCCACUGCCCACACCGACAGCACAGACGAGCCAAUCGUGCUUGUAAGGACAGUAAAAAUGUAGCGUUUGCCAAUUCCACAGGAGGAUGAUUCACAACCAAAAUAACAAAAA